rnacentral:rRNA from 1 species
CUCCUACGGGAGGCAGCAGUGGGGAAUAUUGCACAAUGGGGGAAACCCUGAUGCAGCGACGCCGCGUGAGCGAAGAAGUAUUUCGGUAUGUAAAGCUCUAUCAGCAGGGAAGAAAAUGACGGUACCUGACUAAGAAGCACCGGCAAAUACGUGCCAGCAGCCGCGGUAAUACGUAUGGUGCAAGCGUUAUCCGGAUUUACUGGGUGUAAAGGGAGCGCAGGCGGAAGGCUAAGUCUGAUGUGAAAGCCCGGGGCUCAACCCCGGUACUGCAUUGGAAACUGGUCAUCUAGAGUGUCGGAGGGGUAAGUGGAAUUCCUAGUGUAGCGGUGAAAUGCGUAGAUAUUAGGAGGAACACCAGUGGCGAAGGCGGCUUACUGGACGAUAACUGACGCUGAGGCUCGAAAGCGUGGGGAG